GAUGAACGCUGGCGGCGUGCCUAAUACAUGCAAGUCGAGCGAACAGACGAGGAGCUUGCUCCUCUGACGUUAGCGGCGGACGGGUGAGUAACACGUGGAUAACCUACCUAUAAGACUGGGAUAACUUCGGGAAACCGGAUCUAAUACCGGAUAAGAUAUUGAACCGCAUGGUUCAAUAGUGAAAGACGGUUUUGCUGUCACUUAUAGAUGGAUCCGCGCCGCAUUAGCUAGUUGGUAAGGUAACGGCUUACCAAGGCGACGAUGCGUAGCCGACCUGAGAGGGUGAUCGGCCACACUGGAACUGAGACACGGUCCAGACUCCUACGGGAGGCAGCAGUAGGGAAUCUUCCGCAAUGGGCGAAAGCUUGACGGAGCAACGCCGCGUGAGUGAUGAAGGUCUUCGGAUCGUAAAGCUCUGUUAUUAGGGAAGAACAAAUGUGUAAGUAAAUAUGCACGUCUUGACGGUACCUAAUCAGAAAGCCACGGCUAACUACGUG
rnacentral:rRNA from 1 species